rnacentral:lncRNA from 1 species
CUGGGAUUACAGGCGUGAGCCACCGCGCCCUUCCCCAGAUACUCACUCUUGGAGGUGAAUCAGGAAACUAAGUAGGCAUUCAGUGCAAAGGAGUCCUGCCAUUAAUUAUUCUUAUCUGUGAUCGUUUUGGAAAAGAGAGUGGUGGCAGACAUCUGUGUAUUUUUGGACUCUGGAUGGGAAACUUUAUGCUAAUAUCUAAAAUUAGUUAAAAUUUUAACUAUUCUGAAAUUAGUUAAAAUUCUCAUGGAAUUUCUUUCUCUCUCUUUCUUUUUUUUUCGAGGUUUCACCAUGUUGCCCAGGCUGGAUCUGGAACUCCUAGGCUCAAAUGAUCUGCCUGCCUCUGCCUCUCAAAAUGCUGGAAUUACAGGUGUGAGCUAAUGCGCUCAGCCUUAGAUUAAGAUAUCCGGGAUUACUUCAUUCUGGUCUUAGUGCAAUUAGUAGAAUUUGCCUCCAGUUCUGGCAUUUUGAAUAAACACAGUUUAACAAAACCCAUUUUUUAAUCCCUCCCAACUAUCUGUCUUCCUUGCUGUUGUUUAUUAGCUUUGUUAUUUGAGGUCAUCGUUUUUGUAUCUAGCCUCUUAACAAUUCCUCAGUGGUCACUGCCACUGCCUCAUAGUUCCAAGUUGAUCUGGAAAAAUGAUAGACCCUACGCAUGCAUAAUUCCUGCACUACAUCUUCUGUAAAGGAUAUGAGUAGUAACAGGUCUCUGAUUUGGCACUGGUUCUUUCCCAAUGUUCCAAGAAAGACAUUGUAUCUGCUGUUUUAUAUUUGGUGGUUAAAAUUCUUUAUAAACAUCUUUUAAUCUUAUUAUUUCAUGAAAGACCUAGACCAAAUGAAUCAUGAACCAAUGCUCAUAAUGUUCAGAUUGAUGUUUGUAGUUUGUUAUAUAAGACAAACAAAUAUUUUGCUUUCACUUGAGGGUUAUAGAAGUUUGUAACUAAUAAGCAAUUAACCAUAAACUUUGAUGUCUUUUCUGUAUUGAAGCAAACUUUCUUAUGAGAAUAUGGGUUUAGUGAUGGAGUAAGUCACUGUAUAAUGUAUACUUAUGAGAUAAUUAUACAUACAUAUUUCCUUAGAUUGUGAAUUCCUUUUAGGGCAUGGGCCACUCAUAUUCAUCCUUGUGCCUAACACAAAUUUGGCCUUCAUUAAACAGACAAUUAAUUGAAGGCCUCAAUGAAAAAUGAUUUAAGAAUUUAUAUUUUUAAUUCCUUUUAAGUUCUGGCAAAUUUUUUCAAAGUUAGGCAUCUUACCUUCCGCUGGAAACCAUGUCUUAAUAGAAAGAACAGUGGACUUGCAUUCAGAAGACAGGUUAGUCUUGCUACUUCCUAAAACUUUCCGAACUUCAAUUUCCUCAAGUGUUAACUUGAAAUAGAAUACAUCUGACAGUCAGUUCUGUAGGUCAGAAAUCUGAUGCUGGGCUACAAUCAAGAUGUUGGCAGGGCUGCAUACUGUUCUAGAGACAAUGGGGUGGGAGGGAUCUAUCUUCUUGCCUUUCCCAGCUUGUAGAGACCACCUGCAUUCCUUGACUCAUGACUUGCUUCCUUUGUCUAGAUAGCUACCAGGAACAAAUCCAGCAUUGUUCAUGCUGGUGUCUUACUCUCUUAACCU